AUUGAACGCUGGCGGCAUGCCUAACACGUGCAAGUCGAACGGUAACGGGACCAGCUUGCUGGUUGCCGACGAGUGGCGGACGGGUGAGUAACGCGUAGGAAUCUGCCUGUUAGAGGGGGAUAGCUCGGAGAAAUCCGGAUUAAUACCGCUUAAUGUAUUCGGAUCGCAUGGUCUGUAUUCCAAAGAUUAUAUCGCUGAAAGAUGGGCUCGCGUAGGAGUAGAUAGUUGGUGAGGUAACGGCUCACCAAGUCGACGAUCAUUAGCCGGACUGAGAGGUUGAACGGCCACAUUGGGACUGAGACACGGCCCAGACUCCUACGGGAGGCAGCAGUGAGGAAUAUUGGGCAAUGGGCGCAAGCCUGACCCAGCAAUGCCGCGUGAAGGAUGAAGGUUUUCGGAUUGUAAACUUCUUUUGUCAAGGACGAUAAUGACGGUACUUGACGAAUAAGCCACGGCUAACUACGUGCCAGCAGCCGCAGUAAAAC
rnacentral:rRNA from 1 species